GCGUCGAUGGUGCAACGGUUAGCAUGCGCUCCCGAGGAGAGUGAGAUCUGGGUUUGAAUCUUGGCUGACGCA